rnacentral:rRNA from 1 species
UGGGGAAUAUUGGACAAUGGGCGAAAGCCUGAUCCAGCCAUGCCGCGUGUGUGAAGAAGGUCUUCGGAUUGUAAAGCACUUUAAGUUGGGAGGAAGGGUUGUAGAUUAAUACUCUGCAAUUUUGACGUUACCGACAGAAUAAGCACCGACUAACUCUGUGCCAGCAGCCGCGGUAAUACAGAGGGUGCAAGCGUUAAUCGGAAUUACUGGGCGUAAAGCGCGCGUAGGUGGUUUGUUAAGUUGGAUGUGAAAUCCCCGGGCUCAACCUGGGAACUGCAUUCAAAACUGACUGACUAGAGUAUGGUAGAGGGUGGUGGAAUUUCCUGUGUAGCGGUGAAAUGCGUAGAUAUAGGAAGGAACACCAGUGGCGAAGGCGACCACCUGGACUAAUACUGACACUGAGGUGCGAAAGCGUGGGGAGCAAACAGGAUUAGAUACCCCCGUAGUCCCUGAGCGGGCUGGCAAGGCGCAU